CCUACGGGCGGCUGCAGUGGGGAAUAUUGGACAAUGGGGGGAACCCUGAUCCAGCCAUGCCGCGUGUGUGAAGAAGGCCCUCGGGUUGUAAAGCACUUUAAGUGAGGAAGAACGCCUGGUGGUUAAUACCCAUCAGGAAAGACAUCACUCACAGAAGAAGCACCGGCUAACUCCGUGCCAGCAGCCGCGGUAAUACGGAGGGUGCGAGCGUUAAUCGGAAUUACUGGGCGUAAAGCGCGCGUAGGUGGCUUGAUAAGCCGGUUGUGAAAGCCCCGGGCUCAACCUGGGAACGGCAUCCGGAACUGUCAAGCUAGAGUGCAGGAGAGGAAGGUAGAAUUCCCGGUGUAGCGGUGAAAUGCGUAGAGAUCGGGAGGAAUACCAGUGGCGAAGGCGGCCUUCUGGACUGACACUGACACUGAGGUGCGAAAGCGUGGGUAGCAAACAGGAUUAGAUACCCGUGUAGUC
rnacentral:rRNA from 1 species